GCCAUCGAGGAUGAUCUGAUCAUGCAGUUCUUGUUUACUGCCGCACAUACUUCGCAACCUGCCCUAUGGACUGCAGUUUCAUUUUUUGGGGGUUCUAGAGAUAUGUUAUUUGCAAGGAGCAUCCUGAUUUCUUCAGUUGCAAUUGUUUUGUUCAUUUCCUUUUUGCCUUCUUGAUUGGCUCAAACAUGCUCAUUGUGAAAGGGCGAGGAGCCGCCGCCAUGUUUCUCCCCGAGCUCCGUGGUAGAAUGGUCUGUUUGUAUCAGAUUGUGUUUAGUAGAUGUGAAGAGCUCAGUUCUCGUAAGCUACACCCUGAGGCGUGCAACAGGUAUGUGGAGAUUAAGGAGCGUGCCCAUGUGAGUGGUUUUGAUUUUGUUGUGCCAAUAUCUCCGGUGGCAGGGAUUCACUUCUUCUUUUUUGGUGAUAGUCAGGAGGAUGUUAUAUAGUUUGAUGUUUCUGAAUUUUAACAAUCAUGUUUUACAGUACCCUUGACAUGAAUGAGAUGACUGGGCUUAAAUGAGAACGAUGAGAACCAUCCUGUUCUCCGUCGCAAUCAGCAUGUGUUUAAACUACUACUGCAGCAAAUGUUUGUCGUACCUUCAGUUUGUGCCGCAGAAUCUGUAAUUCAUUGGCACUUUUGUGUGUGUUUGAUUUAGUAUCUUUACCCAGGUGCUUGCUAGAGGAGAAGAUUAAUGGUCCGACACGGCUUCAUGAUUUAUGAGGUAGAGGAGAGGGCAUUGGAUGAACCAAUCAGUUCGAAGCUGUAGGUAUGCAAAAACUUCCAACAUGUAUGUAUAGUAAAUUUGUAAUAGCAAAGCUCUUGCUUCCUUGCCCAUAAGAGAAAAUACACCAAAAAUUUUAUCACCUUAACUUGUCGGCAUACCAUCCUGUCACAAACCCUCAAUAAUGUGUAACUCUUUGUUUACCAGCUCUGAGAUAUUGCAUAGUGAUGUCUCACAAUUAAGAUUGUCACUGUGAAAAAUAACUAACCUCAUGUUAUCUCAUGUACUUUGGUACAGCCUUCACAUAAGAAGCUGUACACUAGAGGCAAGAACAUGAUGUGUGUGUGUGUGUGUGUGUGUGUGUGUGUGUGUGUGUGUGUGUGUGUUUGGGGAGGUCGGGGGGUGAAACCCCUGGGUAUGCAUUCCUCACUUGAAUAGAUUUGAUAAUUUAUCCCAAUACUCUCUUUGUAUUUUUGUCUUUGAGGAAAUCCUAUGAUAGAUAUAUUUUGUCCGUUGUUUCAUGCAUUCUUCAGCUUUAUGAUUAAUUUCCGAGAAAUUUGAAAACUUUAGUCAUUAAUAUAAUAUUAAUAUAUGUCCCAAGAAAUUUAGAAUGGGACCAUGGGGUUACUCCUUUUGAGGGUUUUCACCUUACAGAGGAAGAAAUUUAACAUUUUUGUUUGCAAUAUCAUUUUCCCUGACGGAUUACAUACAUGUUGUUAUUUUAUUUACAAACAUGUCUUUAGCCUGCAAGUGUGGUUUUUUUCGUUUUCUAUAAAGAUCAUUCACAUCUAUUUUUUCGUUCCUGCCAUCUGGAUUUCUGAUUUGAUUCCAGAGUUUGGAGGUGUAUGUUAAUAAAGGGAGGAAGUUGAUCACAAGUUUUCUUUCAGCCAUUGGUGAGUUACAAGUCAGCCCUAUCUCACCUCACUAAAUCUGCAACUCAUGCUUUUUUCUUGCUUGAUAUUAAUUCUCGAUAUUCUUGUCACAUCCUUACAGGGAUAUCAUGUGCAUAUGUAUGAGUUUGCUUUGCUUCGGUUGAAGAUAUAUGUGUGCCUGAAGAUACAAUCUUACAUGCAUUUUCUGUAUGAUAUGAGCACUCUUUCGUUCUCUGCGUGUACGUAGGUUGCAAGAAUGAGAAGGCUCCUCCGUGCUCAACAGGAAGAGAUAGGGUUGCAGUCGCACCGCACGACGGCAGGCCAUGGCGACCCGCACCACACCAGGGAGGCU
rnacentral:lncRNA from 1 species